CCCCAACUCACCGGCAGCAGCGGAGAGGCCCCCCCUGCUAGGCCCUCCUCUGUUUUAGAUCUCGCCGUCGCUCGGUCUCCGCGCAAGCCGCUCGCUGCCGCACGCCCGCAGGUCCAGCUGAAGCAGGGAGCAAGACAUAUACAAGAUCGCAUAAGGAAAGUCAAGAACCCAAAUGAUUUCUUCACAGGAAGAGGGUACGGCUGCCUUCUCUUUCAAGGAUGGUAACAGGCUGUGCUCUCUUUUUCUGCGUCAGCAAGGUCUGAUCAAGAAGAAGCGAAGAUGGCUUGCUUCGUUGCAUCCCGAAUUAGGGGUCCCUUUCAGACUUAAACGACCAAAAUUUCUCAAAGAAGUAUAUUUGGCUGAAUCGGAUGUCAGGACCGAUGAAGUGUCCAGCGAGAGAGUAAGAUCUAACAUCGAAAAAAGUUUUGGCUUGCAAUGGAAUUGCUACAAUCACCAUGUAGUUCUGGAUGGUUUCGAGCUUUUUAAGUUGCAGAAACAGAAGGAUGGCUCUCUCUGUCCAGAAAGCUUGAAGAUUAUGCACCACACAAUCAGCAAAUUAAGCAAUGGAGCACUUGAUUCAGUGGCUAAAAUUGUCACCCAUAAUGGGACUAGUUUCAGGAAAAUUAGGCCUACAGUGAUGAAAAUCGUGAAGGACCACCUUCCAAAAUACUUGGCCGAGUUGGACACUGAAAAUAGCAAGAUUCUGUUGUCUGGCAUUUUAACAAGUCCAUGCAGCUAUCAAUCUGAUUCUGUCUGCCUUGCAACACCUGUUUCACCAAUGCUUCUGUCAUCUUUAAAUGAAGCUUUAGCUGGGCUUGAUGAAAUUUCCCAGCAAGCUGCUAUUGCAAUCAAUAGAAAGCUCAUUAAAAAGUCAUGUCCCCCAGAAUUCCUGCAUGUAUCUCGAACUUCCAGCAGAAGCCACCUCGUUAACUUGAUAAGGAAAAGAUGUGAAAGUAUGAUAGCAAAGCUGCAGGAAGGCCAGGAUCUUCCAAAGAACUUUGCAAAAGCACUGUCAGUGAUGAAACUACAUCAGAAACUAACACUAAGGAGCAUGGAUAUCUCACAGUCAGAGUUCUUCCCCUUUUCGCGUGGAACUAUGUCACUGCAGCAAGAUAUCCUGAAUGCUCUUUGGUUGCUACCAAAAAUCAAUACUAAUGAAAUGAAAUUGCUGCGUUCCAUUAUGGGUCAAGUUUCUGAAGUUAAGAUGGCAUCAUUCAAAGCAGCUGUGAGGAAGUACUUGACAGAAUGCUUGUUUGAGUGUGAUGAUGGUAAUUUACCAGAUUUGGCACUACGUGCUAUCGGUUUCUUAGUUGGAAUGUCUCCUACAUGUCAGCAGGUUAUUCUCACAGAAGAGAGAAAGGAAGUUGAAGUAGAUGCUGUCUUGGAUUUAAGCAGUCGCCUUAGAUCUUUUGCACGUUGUGCCAUAGAAGAAGGCCUGAGUGAUGAUGAAUUCAGCUUAGAGAGUUACAGCGGCAGCGAAGAUAACGAUUUUGUACUCACUGGGAGCAACUACUUCGGUUCACUUUCGGAGCAGCACAUGGAUGAGGGCUGCUGUUCAAAUUUUACUAUCAAGAAUGCUGAAGGCUCUGAAUACGUGGGUGGUGCUGGACAUUAUGGAGACAAUGAAGCUGCUGCUAGUAUGAAGGAUCCUUGUUUGAAGGGCAAUGUGAAGAUGACUAGAUGCUUUGAAGAAGAUCUCUCUGAAGUAUGUGAUGACACCGCAAGUACAGCACACAAAUUUAUUGGGCAAAUUCUUAAAAACAUGUUGACUGAAAAUGAGGUGGCUGAUGAAAUUUCCGGAUGUUAUCUUGGAGGCAGUUCUAAUUCUGAAGAUCCUCGAGUUCCUGAUACAAAAAACCCAAAAGCUGACAUUGUGAUGAAUGCUGUCCAGGGUCUCCUACCUAAUCUGCCAAAAAGCUCCAUGGACAAAGUUAGAAGGAUACUGGAUGGUGCUGAGCAGUGAGACGGUGUUGAAUCUUGCACGGUGCUGUAAAUUGCGCCAUUGAAAUGAGAUGGACAACAUACAUCAUGCCGAACAUGUGAAGCUCACUUAACGAUGUGAUGACUUGUGCUAUGUGUCUUGUUGCUUCCUCACGUUUCCGAUCUGGGUCAGAGUAAGAUGUCUUUCAACUUGAAAUCAUACAGCAAUUGCAUAACUUUGUACCCAAUGCUAGCUCAAAGCUGCAACUGUUUUUUAACACUGAGCUAGUUGAAUUUGUUCUUUUAGUUCCUCCUGUAUUCAUAAUGCUCCUGGUAAGUUCUGAAUAUGCUGCAAAGCAAUUUUCCCUAUAACUUCAAAAUUUGUGGAUUUGCAUCAUCUCUUAUUACACAUGAACUUUGGGCUUGCUGGAUCAUCUGAAUAUGUUGUUUUGCCUUCACUUAUUGAAGAACUAUGUAAUGAUGUAUUCAUGAAGUAUACACCAUGGUCGACAUGUACUAGUACAUGUAAGAUUUGUUUUUUUGGCAUCUCUGUGGACUUACCUUCUCUACAAACUCACCACGUUUCUUAGGUCCUUGCCAGUUGCCACAGUGCCUAAUUGUAGCCUGGAAAUAGCAUAUAUCAUAUAAUGUAACUAGUGUUAACUACUGCCAACUACUUAUAUUAGUAUUGUUAUGUUAGUUAGUAUGAUUUAACUUUCUUAACAGGAGCAUACAACACAUAGUUGCCCAGAAUUAGAACAUGGUCCGGUGAACUACAACAAAUAUAAAUUUAAUUCGGUUCCAUUAUAGAAAGCCACUAGUCUACCAGUUAUUACUACAUAAAUUUUCUCUUGUAUUAUUGCACCAAUGAAUGGUAUUGACGAGAAAUGAGGUAUAAUUCCAGGCCAUCUCUGCAUGAAGUGUGCGCAGCAUUUGAUGAAGCUACUUGUGAAGAGGGCUAGUACUACACAAGCAACUAUUCCAGUAUAUAAGCCUGCUUCAGCAGUCACUCCUGGUGAUCUUAAGCUUCUAAAUGGUGUAGCUCCUUUAGCUGAUUUGCCUGACUGAAGUUUUGGUGAUAUGCCAGUUACUAGUACUGCUUGUACUGCUACAUCACCUGAUGGUUUUCUACAAGACCUUUUGGGUAUCAGUGGGACAAAUCUAUUAAAUGCAGGGGUUUCUUCAUCUGCAGGCACAUAUACUCUGAUGGAUCUUCUAUCUGCACGUACGGGCUCACUGAAACUGUUAAGUUGCAGCCCAUCGACGAACAAUGCGAGAUGACGGAGGCUGAUGUUGCUCCAGACGACCAUUCUCGCCUCGCGAUGACCCAGAGUCUCGAAAACAUUUGCUACUUUAUCCUCGUCAUCCAGCUGCCGAUUUGUGUCGCGGAGCACGGCUCCGACGCUGACCAGAACCAGUGAAGGAAAUAAACUACUGGCACGUUUUUGUGCGUCUGCCUCUCUGCAAGCUGUAGCUUGUGACCUGGUGAAUGGGUCAAGGUUCAAGAGGUGCACCUUAUUGAGAAGAGGGAGGAUGGCAUUUCAUGGAAGCUCAUGGCCAAUGGCCAAUAAUAAUCCGCGAGGUUGGCUUACGAGGUGCAAUUCAUUGGUUCCACUUCCUCUUUCUUGCACAAGCCGGUGUGGAAGGAUUGGGCACCUCUCAAAGCAAAAAAAAUCGCUUGGUUUCUCACUCAUAAUCGCAUAUGAACGGCUGAUUGUGUCCAAAAAUGUGGGUGGCCGAACUGUGGUUUUUUACCCCUUUGCAAGCAAACCACGGAGUCAGUGUGCCACCUUUUGGUCGAAUGUAAAUACUCCAUUCUUCUUGGAGCUA